UACGUAGGGUGCGAGCGUUACUCGGAAUUACUGGGCGUAAAGCGUGCGCAGGCGGUUUUGUAAGUCCGAUGUGAAAUCCCCGGGCUCAACCUGGGAACUGCAUUGGUGACUGCAAGGCUUGAGUGUGUCAGAGGGAGGUGGAAUUCCGCGUGUAGCAGUGAAAUGCGUAGAUAUGCGGAGGAACACCGAUGGCGAAGGCAAUCCCCUGGGCCUGCACUGACGCUCAUACACGAAAGCGUGGGGAGCAAACAGG
rnacentral:rRNA from 1 species